AGCCCAGAGAAAUUUGGAUUAAUACCUUAUAGUAUUAUGAAAUCGCAUGGUUUUAUAAUUAAAGUUCCAACGGUAUAAGAUGAGCAUGCGUCCCAUUAGUUAGUUGGUAAGGUAACGGCUUACCAAGACAAUGAUGGGUAGGGGUCCUGAGAGGGAGAUCCCCCACACUGGUACUGAGACACGGACCAGACUCCUACGGGAGGCAGCAGUGAGGAAUAUUGGUCAAUGGACGCAAGUCUGAACCAGCCAUGCCGCGUGCAGGAUGACGGUCCUAUGGAUUGUAAACUGCUUUUAUACAGGAAGAAACACUCCCUCGUGAGGGAGCUUGACGGUACUGUAGGAAUAAGGAUCGGCUAACUCCGUGCCAGCAGCCGCGGUAAUACGGAGGAUCCAAGCGUUAUCCGGAAUCAUUGGGUUUAAAGGGUCCGUAGGCGGUUUAAUAAGUCAGUGGUGAAAGCCUAUCGCUUAACGAUAGAACGGCCAUUGAUACUGUUAGACUUGAAUUAGUGGGAAGUAACUAGAAUAUGUAGUGUAGCGGUGAAAUGCUUAGAUAUUACAUGGAAUACCAAUUGCGAAGGCAGGUUACUAUCACUAUAUUGACGCUGAUGGACGAAAGCGUGGGGAGCGAACAGGAUUAGAUACCCUGGUAGUCCACGCCGUAAACGAUGGAUACUAGCUGUUCGGAGCAAUCUGAGUGGCUAAGCGAAAGUGAUAAGUAUCCCACCUGGGGAGUACGUUCGCAAGAAUGAAACUCAAAGGAAUUGACGGGGGCCCGCACAAGCGGAGGAGCAUGUGGUUUAAUUCGAUGAUACGCGAGGAACCUUACCAGGGCUUAAAUGGGAGACGACAGUUUGGGAAACCAGAUUUUCUUCGGACGUCUUUCAAGGUGCUGCAUGGUUGUCGUCAGCUCGUGCCGUGAGGUGUCAGGUUAAGUCCUAUAACGAGCGCAACCCCUAUUGUUAGUUGCCAGCGGGUCAUGCCGGGAACUCUAACAAGACUGCCGGUGCAAACCGUGAGGAAGGUGGGGAUGACGUCAAAUCAUCACGGCCCUUACGUCCUGGGCUACACACGUGCUACAAUGGGCGGUACAGAGAGCAGCCACUACGCAAGUAGGCGCGAAUCUUCAAAACCGUUCUCAGUUCGGAUCGGAGUCUGCAACUCGACUCCGUGAAGCUGGAUUCGCUAGUAAUCGCAUAUCAGCCAUGAUGCGGUGAAUACGUUCCCGGGCCUUGUACACACCGCCCGUCAAGCCAUGGAAGCUGGGGGUACCUGAAGUCGGUGACCGCAAGGAGCUGCCUAGGGUAAAACUGGU
rnacentral:rRNA from 1 species